GGGGAAUUUUCCGCAAUGGGCGAAAGCCUGACGGAGCAAUACCGCGUGAGGGAGGAAGGCUCUUGGGUUGUAAACCUCUUUUCUCAGGGAAUAAGAANCUGAAGGUACCCGAGGAAUCAGCAUCGGCUAACUCCGUGCCAGCAGCCGCGGUAAUANCGGAGGAUGCAAGCGCUAUCCGGAAUGAUUGGGCGUAAAGCGUCCGCAGGUGGUUUAUCAAGUCUGCUGUCAAAGAGUUUGGCUCAACCAAAUAAAGGCAGUGGAAACUGACAGACUGGAGUGCGGUAAGGGCAGAAGGAAUUCCUGGUGUAGCGGUGAAAUGCGUAGAUAUCAGGAAGAACACCAGUGGCGAAGGCGUUCUGCUAGGCCGAGACUGACACUGAGGGACGAAAGCUAGGGGAGCGAAUGGGAUUAGAUACCCCAGUAGUC
rnacentral:rRNA from 1 species